rnacentral:rRNA from 1 species
AGAGUUUGAUCAUGGCUCAGAGUGAACGCUGGCGGCGUGCCUAACACAUGCAAGUCGAACGAGAACGGAUUACAGCUUGCUGUAAUUGUCAGCUAAGUGGCGCACGGGUGAGUAAUAUAUAGUUAAUCUGCCCCAAAGAAGAGAAUAAUUGUUGGAAACGACUUGUAAUGCUCUAUAUGCCUUUAAGACAUAAGUUUGCAAGGGAAAUAUUUAUAGCUUUGGGAUGAGACUGUACGGUAUCAGCUAGUUGGUGAGGUAAUGGCUCACCAAGGCUAUGACAUCUAACUGGUUUGAGAGGAUGAUCAGUCACACUGGAACUGAGACACGGUCCAGACUCCUACGGGAGGCAGCAGUGGGGAAUAUUGCACAAUGGAGGAAACUCUGAUGCAGCAACGCCGCGUGGAGGAUGACACAUUUCGGUGCGUAAACUCCUUUUAUAUGAGAAGAUAAUGACG